UACGUAGGCAGCAAGCGUUGUUCGGAGUUACUGGGCGUAAAGCGUGCGCAGGCGGUUAUGUAAGACAGAUGUGAAAUGCCCGGGCUUAACCUGGGAACUGCAUUUGUGACUGCAUGGCUAGAGUUUGGCAGAGGGGGGUAGAAUUCCACGUGUAGCAGUGAAAUGCGUAGAUAUGUGGAGGAACACCGAUGGCGAAGGCAAUCCCCUGGGCCUGUACUGACGCUCAUGCACGAAAGCGUGGGGAGCAAACAGG
rnacentral:rRNA from 1 species